UAUUUUUCCUGGCUCUGUGCCUCUGUACAUGUUUUAUUGUUUCCAUGACCUUUCUUUCUCAUAUUUAUUUUGUUUUUCAAAUUCUAUGUUUCUAUGAAACUGCUGAAAAUCCUUUUAUCCUUAAGAAGAUUCUAAGCUUCAUCCAUAAGAAGAAAGCACACUGUCAUUGCUGCUGUGAGAUUCUUGACACAUAUUUAGCCCUACCCAUCAUUUACUUUACCUUGCAGUUCAGAUUUCCCAUCUGGGAAACAGGAGGGAAGAAGCUGCAUUCACUGAGCCACCUGUCAGAGCCUAGCAACCAGCCUUGUCUGUGACCCUCAGUCCAGGGUGGCAUCCAAACCCAUUCACUCUCCACUGUGAUUUUCCAUACAUUACAGAAAGUUCUCCUGGGAGGACUCUUGAUCCUGGUGCCCUUGUGAUGUUGUGCAGUGCCCAGUGCUAUUCCACACCCAGGGCGGGAGGUCAAGACAGUUCCACUGCUGAAACAAUUUUCCGUGUUUGCACAUGACAGAAGACUUGAAUUACUCUGAAUUUAAAAGAAGUGGAGCAACCAAUCUGAUAGAGGAAUUCUCAAUAGGCUGUGGCAUGAAUAUGGAAGGCUUCUCUUAUCUAUAACUACAGAGAAAAUCAGAAUAAACAAUGCCUAUGAACAAUUUGAAGUGUUUCAAUUUUAUCAGAAAGGAAGCACCAAAAAUGUUGUGCCAAAAAAAUCAUUGCUGAAAAAAUUAGCUUACAGCACUCAAGCAUGUUGCUUCAGGACAAUAAGGAGAGAGCUUCUCUUAAGAGAUAGCCAAGUUUUCUGUUGGAUGAGAUGAGACUGAUACUCACAUACUACAACAUUUCAUCCCAUUUUCAUAGCAAGAACAAUCUUCACAUUUAUUGUUCCUCCAAGUUGAGUUCGUCUUGAAUAUGGCUUCGAGGAAAUACCUGCAUACUGAAAACCCACAAAGCGACAUCAGUGAAGUCCCUAAAUCAGGCAACUGGAACACGGAAGUGAGGACAUGGGGGCCCAGCCCUUCUGUGUGACGACUGGUAAUUUCUAUUGUCAUGUAGUACAGAGCUCUCAGUUUGCCCUCAGUUAAAAUAGAGUACCGAAAAGUUUGUAACUGGUAGCAUUUUCCAAAACAAACACAAAGCCUUUUACAUUUAUUUUAAAGCCCACAUUUUAAGAAUAACCAACAUUUUUGUAUUUAAUCUUAUUUUAGAUCCACUUUCUCUUAGUGGAGUAACUACAUAAAUUUUCACUCAUGUACAUUUACAGUGUUUCUUUUUACUUUGGUUUUCAACUCUUCAUGAACCUGUGAAAUGAACUUCUGGGGACUGGAAAAGAAAAGUAUUUAACAGGAAUGGAUCAGUGCAAGAUCUCAUUUUCAGCAUGCAAAAGGCCCUAGGUUCAGUAUCCAGGACAAAAACAAACAAAUAAAAACUGUAUGUUAAUACUCAUCACAAAACUUGGAAAUCAAUGUCCUUGGGGUGUGAGCCCAAGUGGUGGUGAUUUUAGAACACUUGCUAAGUGAUGCUGCUGUUGAACCAAGGUUGAGAACUGCUGCUAAGAACCCCAGAUCCAUCAGUCUCAUCAAACUACCCUGUUCAAGCAACUCUGACAUCCACCGUUAGGUUUCCUGAAUUAGCACCUGGUAGUUCAGAAGAACUCGCUGAGUUUGGUGUGAGCAUCAAAGUAUUAAACAUCUUUGAAACAAGUAAUAGCAUUUAAACUUGAGCUGUGAAUAUUCAGCUUUGAAAAAGGACAUUGGUAGACGGAAUCCAACUAUUGAUAAGUAUUGAAAGCUCCCUAGUUAAUUCUCAGUUAGAUUUCAGGACUGUCUUGUAGGCAAUUCAGGUAGAAGACCCUUGUUUGGCUAAUUUCUUUUCUCGCCCUCACCCACUGUCCUGUAGUCGCUCAAAGGCUUUUAUCUGUCUUGCAGACUUGAAUCACAUGAUCAAUAUUAAAUCUAAUACUUACUAUGGUAUUGAUUGCCUUCGCCUUUUGCCAGUUUUACAUCGUGGCAUUUGGCACUGCAUGAAAUCUCAAAGUUGGCCAGGAACAGGAGACAGCCCAGGAGAGCUUCCUGUAAUGUAAGAAAUAAUGAAGAAUGAGUGGAUUCAGAGUGUCACCCUCUACUGGAGGGUCUCACAAAAGGCUCCCUGCUGUUCUCUGGCAAGUGAUUUGAAGGUGGAACUUCUCUCAGGGUAGCCAUCUGGGAAAGAAGACCUACACUGUCGCAAAUAAAGUGCAAACAAUACACAAGGUUCAAGAAUGCCAUAGUGGAACAGUGGCUGUAUUAUUGCAGAUUUAAGAAGCCCAUAAGGAAAAAGGAAAUUUCUUAGCUGUUUUACAGAAUGUGUAGAAUAUAGAAUACAGAAAGGAGAAAAGAAAAUAGACUGUUUGAAAUCAAUAAACACAACAGAGGAACAGAAAAAAGAACAUACAUUUGGAAACUGACUUGAUCUGAGUAAAUAGGAAAUAUGAUGGGAAAAUGCAUUAUAGCAGUGUCUUAGUCACUGAGACGUAAUACCCAGCACCUAAAAUUUAAAGGAAUAGAGAUUAAGUUUAGCUUACAAUUAGUAGAUGUUUCUGUCCUCGCAUGGUCAACAGCACAGUGGAAUGACCAGACGUUGAGGAAACGUACUGAUACCACAGUGGCCAAGAAGCACAGUGAGAUAAAGGGAGGAACAGGAAGGCAAAUAAAUUCAGGUCACUCCCACAGUGACCUGCCUCUUCUGACUAGGCACCACCUCUUAAGAAGAAGGCAGAUAUAAUGCAAUUGUAAAUCAUCCACUUUCUAGAAGCGUCAAUGUUGAGUACAUGUGGAUUUGGGGAAACGUGUAGAAAUAAGCCAAUAACAUUUCACCACUGACCUUCCAGACCACUCAAGUACAACUCUUUCUGAAACAUGAAUUUAGUUCUUUCCCGGAGUUUCCAAAGUGCUAACAAUGGCAAUUUUUCAAGUUCAAAGCCUCUUCUGAGAUUGAAAGCACAUUGUUAGCUGUGAGCCCCAGUAAAAAUCAAAAAGAAAGGUAAACAUUGCCAACCUGCAAUAUUUCAGGGUAAGUAUUUUCAUUUUAAAAAUGGGGAACAGGGAAAUUGAAGGAAUGGGACCAAAGAUAGACCAAACCUAACAGGGCAGAGAGUAAAUCUUAUAAGUUCAAGUCUUGUAUUAGGGGCAAGAGAUUAAAAGACAGAAGCUCCAAAUUGCUUGGGUACCUGUCUUAGGAAUGUGCUGGUGGUUGCAACUCUCAGGGCUUUUAUCUUGGACUGGCUUUGUUCAAUCAUUUCACUUUCAUCUAUUUCAUUUUCAUAGAGUCUCUAUCUUUAUUGGUCUCCACUGCACUUUCCACGUCACUUUCACAGCUUCACGUACGGUCUUGUUGAAAGGAAAGCACCCGAUCUUCUUUGAAAAUCGUAGUGGAAUCCCUCAUGAGCCCAUAACACUUGCAUUCUGCAGGCCUAUUAAACCAGCACCACAUGGCAGAUGCCAAUGCCUGCCACUUGCUCCAGCAGUUGCCAACUUUUCAUUAUGAUUGCAAGAGAAUCUGAGUGCCUAGAUGUACAAAUAUGAUUAAAUGCAUCCCAAGAAGCCAGUUUCUUGAGGUGUCUUUUCCCAAGAGGUUUCUCUGGAGUUUUCUUCAGCAAGCAAAAUCUUGCAAUUUUCCACCGUUGAAUCUGAAAUCUUUGGGUCCCUUCAAUACGUUCAAAGCAUCUUUUGUAGAGUCCCUGAUGCAAACCACUUGGGUUUUAAAAUGCUUGUCUUUUCAGCAACAAGCCUCUGCUCUGUUCCAAUUUUGCAUGUCCCAAUUUUACUGGAGCUUCCUUUUUGGCCAAACUCAGUUUUUACAGUUACUCAGCUAUGUUGUUUGCUCUUCUAUAUAAAGUUAGCUAAAAUGCAAUAGAAUUUAUACUACAACCUGACCUCUAGAUUGGCUGGAAACUUCUUCCAUCACAUUAAUUAGCCUGCCACCCUUAAUCUCAAUCUUCAACAGUCUCAGUACAUGAAAAAAAUUUUGACUAGAGCAUAAAAGACAUGGUCUGGGAAUAAGGGAACUACGAAAAGAAUGUGAUAGGCUGACAGGUGGAAGGAGAAACCAUAUGAACCAAGAAUCUCUAAAUUUCAUUCAGUGACAUGAAGCCAGCUAUAAAUUAUUUAAGGUGAUAUGUGUCUGUGAUGGAGACAGAGAUAGUCACACUAAGAAUUAGGGCUGGUGGUCAAAUUGAGGUAGGCUUUUUGGGGAGAUGUGAUUAUGACCACUUUCUCAUAUUACUAGACUUAGCAACAUUAGGAUUUAGAAUUGUACUUGAUUUUUCCUUGUAAUGUUUUAUUUUCAUUUUUGUGAUACUCAGUUCAAACAAGCCUCUAAACCUCCAAUUUUCUUCCAUCAAAAUAUCCAGCCCUUCUUACAAUGUUUUGCUGUUUACACAGAAAAGGAUUCCUGGGACUAGAGUGAUCCGCAAGAGUUUGGAGCAUUUUGUUUCACUGAAUCAGAGAUAAAAGACAUCAGAGAAAAAGGCCCUGAGCUGCCACUGAACAAGAGUUCCCAACCUCUCAGCCCUGGGCAGGGACAUAGGAUUUAGUGGCUGAAGAUAGAGUCCAAACUCAGUAACAAGGGAGACUAAUUUAUUGUAUCUAAAAUAUUAUACACAUGAUAAUAUAUCACCCUUCCCACCUUCUCCAAAGCUAGGUAUUCUCACUUAUAAAGAGUGACUUCCCAACUGGUUGAGCAUCAAAAUUGCCCAAGGAGCUUUGUUUAACAAGUAAUCUCGGGGCUGGGGAUUUAGCUCAGCGGCAUAAGCGCCUGCCUUGCAAGCAGGCAGUCGUGGGUUCGAUCCCUGGUACCGGUAAAAAGGAAAAAGACAAAAAAAAAAAAAAAAAAACAAGUAAUCUCAGGAUCCCUAAAGACACGCACGAUCUAGGCUUUGUAACUUGACUUUUCUUUUUAUCAAAUUCACAGGAAAACUGAACAAAUCAGUGCUGCUUUACCUUGCAGGUGCACCCUGUAGUGUUUAUGGGAACACUGUGUCAGAAUGUUCUGUCUCAGUAUUCUGCAGGCUCCGACCCUAGAUUCCUGGUCACACUUCUGAUGGCACUGUGGGUCUGAGGGCACCAGAGAGCAGAGAGGUUGCAAAAUCCCUUCACGUCUGUGCAUUCCUUUCUCGUCAUAAUCUGACAGUCUUUCUCUCUUCUCCUGGGACACCAAGCCCUGUUGUGUGCUCUACAGAAAGUACGCCCAAGAAGAACACUUUUUAGGGCUUUCUCAAUAGUGUGGACUUGUGUCAGAUGUGUUCACUGGGUUUCUCUCCAUUAAGUACACUACUCUUCCUGCAAGUGUCUUUCUCUAUGCAUUCCUUCCUGAGCGUCUUCUUGAUCUCCCAGACCUCUGCUGUGCAGUGGCUAUAGUUGUUCCACUUUUUAUCGGAAUUAAGAGCAGCCAGGGCUAUCCUUAAGCCUGAGUUGAGGUAAGAAAAAACAAGUUUAAAUUUAAGACAGAAAGGAGGCCUUCGUGUGUUUUUAGAUUUAGAGGUGAUUUUUCUUUCAUCUAACAUAUACAGCAAAAGGGCGCAGGGGAUGAUCUCACAAAUUCUUCUAAAACGGAAACAACCUGUGCAAUUUCUGCCUCUCCUUGCACCAUUCUCACUGCAGGCUUGAUGAAUCACAGCAUCACAUUCUUUCAAAAAUGCCUACGUGACUCCACAAACAGCCCUCUCUGGGAAGACUUGGCUUGAUGAGAGGAUUUGUUGAUUGUGUCAUCUCAGGUCCCUGGGCCCAUGGUGACUCCAUGGCAGCUUCUUUCUCUAUUUUCAUUUGUAAAAGGAUGUACAAAUUGCUGUUCUAUAUUCAUUUAUAAGUGUACAAGUCAUGCAUCCAGAGUAAACGGUUUACAGAUACAAAGAAAAUCCCAAGAGAUCCCCAAAUGACUAGACGAAAUGACCACUGAGCUCCAGAGAAAAGAAAUACUGUUGAAAGCACUGUAACGUUUCCAGUGCCUCAGGCUUUCAUUAUGCAGCAACAGUAUAGGCAGGGUUCAUAAUGAGGUAGCAUUGAUAACUAAGUGGUAUCCAGAAAUGGGCAUGUCACAGCUGACUACAGAAAGGAGUACAUACACUUUUUUUCCUUUCUUGACCCUCUAUAUGAAUGACUUAUCUGCCAUUUUCAGUCAGGAGCUCUGCCACUGAGCUGCAUCUCAACUCAGUUACCUGCCUUGCAACAAAAAAGACUUCUUUCAGGCAGAAGCCCCUUGGAGCUGUCACACUGAGCAUUUAUGCACAAGAAGUCACCACGUAUUCAACAACACUAUGAAGGAUCUCUGGCCAAGAAUAUAUAGAUUAUCAACCCGAGACUAUGGUUUCAGAUGAUGCAUGAGUAGCUUAUCUAUCAGAUCUCCAUCCCACUUAUGGUUCUACCCUGUUCCCAUUCCCAAUAUAUCUUUAUCAUUGACCUGAGAGGAGAAAGAAUGGAAGAUGUAUUCACCAAGUAUUUACCCUGACAUAGGAAGAUUCCUAAUCACAUGAAAGAUGUUUAAUUAAUUUUACCCAUAAUGAAAUAACCUCUCCAGAAUUUCAGACAUCCCUACCACAUUUGAAGUUUAUUUAGUGAAGUCAUAAGAAUAUCAAAAUGGGAAUCUGCUGUACCCCUCUCAAGGCCAUGGCUGAGGUUUUGAACACUGCAAUUGAUGUCUGGCAUUACAGAGCAUCUAGUAGGGUUUAAGAGAGACCUGCCCUACAGCCCAGGUCUCUUGUUAACCACCUAUUUCAAACCAUUUGAACUUGCUAAAACUCUUCUAAAAUUCUAGUUCCUGAUACAUAAAGGAAGCUUUCAUUCUUGUACAACAAGAACAGAGUUAUUUAUUGUAAGCAGUAUGGAGGUUCUUCAUAAAACUAAAUAUGGAAGUGUUGUUCCAUCCAAUAAUCCUACACCUGGAUAUAUUACUGUACAAAGGAAUGACCCAGGAUAUUAAAGAGGUACCCACUCUCAUAAUUAUCUCAGCAUUAUUCAUAAUAAUUAAGAUAUAUAAUAAACAUAGUCACCUAUCAACUGAUGAAAUCAUACAGAAACAGUGUUAGGUAUAUACUAUGGAAUAUCAUGCUGUCAUGAUUGCAGUAUAUUUUAAAAGCAAACAAAAGGAUAGAAAUUAUGCAGACUUUCAAAAAAAUGGUAGGAAAUUAACACUAGGUAAUACAUUGCAUAUUAUUAGCAUUGAAGUAUUUGUUUAGGUAACAAGAUUUAGGCAUAAAAAUGUUCAAUCAGACAAUGAAAGCUCAAAUUGUUAUUUUUUAUAAAUUAACAGAUUAGUAGUAUACUUAUCCAUCUUGUGUAUAUGGAUGUAUACAUAGAUACGCAUAUGCAUGUUUGUUUACCUAUGUACGUACAGUCUUUUCCCUUUUUUCUUUUCUUUUUUUGCCUAUCCCAGUUGCUCUUUUCUUUUGAGCACUUUCUUUCCCUUCCAGUUCACAAUAUCCACUGUACAUUUUGUAUCUUAUUACUCUUUUGGUUUUUUUACCCUCAGGAGGAAAUAGGAUAUUAACACAUGUGAGUUUGACUUUUUUCACUUGAGUAUGGCCUCAAGUUAUCCAUAAAAGCCUCAAGCUUGUCUUUUAUAGCUGAUUAAUACUCCUUUGUGUAAAAAUGCCACUUUUUUAUCCAUUCCACUGAUGAUAUUCAUUAUUUAUCUAUUACAAAUUGUGCUGCUAUAAAUACAGGUUCACAUAUACUACUGUGGUAUGAUGGUUCAAUGUUGCUUUAAUUUGCAUGUCUUGAAUGACCAGUUUUGUUGAACAUUUCUUCAUAUAUUUAUUUGCCAUUUGUAUUUCUUCAUUUGAGAAGUGUGUGUCCAUCUCAGACACCCGUUUUUGGAUUGGGUCUUGCAUUUGGGGAGCCUGAUGUUUUUAAAUUCUUUAUGUAUUCUAAAUGUAAGUCCUUUGUCUAAGAGACAGUUGGCUAAAAUUCUUUCCCAUUCUGUGGGUUUACUUUUCGCUCUGUUGGUGAUUUCUUUUGAAGUGCAAAAACUUUUUUAAUAAGAUGAGAUCCCACUUGCUGAUUCUUUGAAGUACUUCUCGUGCUUGCAUUUUUGUUCACGAACUCUUUGCCAACUCCUAUGUCUUUUAAGAUUUCUACCUACCUUGUCUUCCAGUAGGGUUAGUGUUUCUAUUUUAAUAUUUAGAUUUUUGAUCCAUUUUGACUUUAGUUUAGUUCAUGGUGAUAGAAAUGGCUCCAGUGUAAGUUUUCAGCAUGUAGAAAGCUAAUGUUUCCAAGAUCAUUUAUUAAAGAUGCUGUCUUUCUUCCAUUGAAUAUGUUAGACCCUUUGUCAAAGACAAGGUAGCUGAGUGUCUUGUAGCUACAGUUACAUUUUAUAUUCUGUUCAGUUGAUCUUCAGGUCAAUUUUUUUUUGCUGGUACCAUGCUGAUUUUAUCACCGUAGCUCUGUAGUGUAAUUUUAAGUCAGGGUUUGUGAUGCUUCUUGUCUUGCCUUUGUUGUCCAAGAUUGUCUUUGCUAUUCUACAUCUCUUCUGUUUCUAAAGGAAAUUUAGGAUUGUUUUCUCUAUAUCUGUGAAGUAUGUUAAUGGUAUUUUGAUCAGGAUUGCAUUAAAUCUGUAUAACAAUUUUGGGAGUAUGGCCAUUUUCACUAUGUUAGUUCUUUCUAUCCAGGAGUAAGGGAUAUCUUUCCAUUUUGUGAUAUCCUCUUCAAUUCCCCAUGUUUUUGAAUGCUACAGUUUUCGUCUUUUUUUUUUUAAUUGGUACCACGAAUCGAACUCAUGACUGCCUGCUUGCAAGGUAGGCACUUAUGCCGCUGAGCUAAAUCCUCAGCCCCAAGUGCUACAGUUUUCAAUGUGUAGAUCUUUUAUAUCCUUUGUUAGAUUGGUUCCUAAGUAUUUCGUUUUUGGGGAUUCUAUUUUAAAGGUGUUAUUUCCAUAAUUUCUCUCCCAGUGAGUCUGUUGUUUGUGUACAGGAAUGCUAUUGAUUUUUGAGUGUUGACUUUGUAUCCUGCUAUACUGCUGAAUUUGCUUAUUAACUCUGGUAGUUUUUGAAGGAGCUUUUGGAGUCUUCUAGGUAAAGUAUUAUGCCAUCUGCAAAUAAUUAUAAUUUGACUUCUUUUUUUCCUAUCCUCAUUCCUUUCAUUUCUCUCUCAUGUCUAAUUGUUCUGGCUAACAUUUCCCUAACUAUAUGGAAUAGGAGUGGUGAUAGUGAACAUCCUUGUCUUAUUCCUGAUUUUAGAAUGAAAGCUUUCAGUUUUUGUCCGUAUAGUAUGAUGUUGCCUGUUGGUUUGUCAUAGAUGGUUUUUAUCAGAUUGAGGUAAAGAACAGAGUGAUACUUGUUUCCAGGAGUGAGUUAGGGAGAAUUGCUUCCCUUUCAAUUUCAUUAAAGAAUUUGAGGCAUAUUGCUGUAAAUCUCUAAAUUUCUUGUAGAAUUCAGCUGUGAAUCCAUCAGGACUUGUGGUUUUUCUUCAUUGGUAAGUUUUUAAGUAUGUUUUGAAUACCAAAAACUGACACUGGGGUACUCAAAACUUUAUGUCUUCUUGAUUCAACUUUGGUAAUUCAUAUGUUUCUAGGAAUCUGUCCAUUUCCUGUUUUCCAGCCUAUGCAAGUGCAGCUUUCAGUGUAAGUGUUGAUAAACUACUGAGUUUCUACAGGAUUUGUAGUAAUUUCACCCUUUUCAUUCUUCAUUGUAUGAAUUUGUGUUUUUUUCUCUCCUUUUCUUGAUAAUUUUGGCUAGGGGUUUAUCAAUGUUGUUUAUCUUUCAAAGAACAAUCUCUUCAAUUCAUUAAUUCUUUGUAUUGUUUUCCUAGUCUCAGUUGUGUUAAUUUCUGUUCUGAUCUUUAUAAUUUCCUCUCUUCUAUGAGCUUUCAUCUUGACUUGCUUGAGGAGCAGCAGUAAGUUGUUUAUUUGUGCUCAUUCUGUUUCCUGAUGUGGCAAUUCGUUGGUAUAUAUUUCCCUCUUAUGACUGCUUUCAUUGUGUCUCACAAGUUCCAGUGUGUUAUAUUUUUAUUUUUAUUUAGAUAUUUAUUUUAAUUGCAGAUAUUGUUUAAUUUCAUUCAUAACCCAUUGGUUGUUCAGGAGGGUGUUAUUUAAUUUCCUUGUGUUUAUGUAGAUUUUGCAGUUUCUCUUGCCAUUAAAUUUCCAAUUUCAGUGCACUAUGGUCAGAUAAUAUGCAUGGGGUAAGUUCAGUCCCUUUGCAUUUACUUAAGCAUGUUCUAUAGGCCAGUAUAUGGUCUAUUUUAAAGAAUGUCCCAUGUCCAGCUGAGAAGAAUGCGUAUUUUAAUGUUGGGUGGAACACUCUGUAAACAUCUAAUAUGUCCAUUUGUUCACAAGUUUGAUUCAGUUCUGUUAUUGCUUUGCUCAUUUUUGUCUAGUUGAUCUAUCUCUUGGUGACAAAAGGGUAGUAAGGUCUCCCAGUACAAUUUUGUUGUUGCAUAUUUGACUUUUCAUAUCUAUUAUUAUUUGUUUUAUAUAGUUGGGUGCUCCUGUAUUUGGUUCAUGUGUUAUUUAUGAUUGUUACCACUUCCUCUUGAAUUUUUCCCCUAGCAAGUAUGUAGUGAUCUUCUUUAUCUCUUUUGAUCAAUUUUUGUUUGAAGUUCAAAUUGUCUGUAAAAAGAAUAGCUACCUGUGUUUUUUUCUAGGUUCCUGUCACAUGGAAUAUUAUUUGCCACUCUUUGACUUUCAGUCUAUGAGUUUCUUUUUGAGUCAGAUGUUUUUCUUGUAUACAGCAUUGUUGGAUCCUGUUUAUUUAUUCUUUCAAUCUGUUUCUUUUCACUGAUGAAUUGAGGCCAUUCACAUUGAUGGGUAUAGCUGCUAUGUACUGGCUUAACUGUGUCAUGUUAUUUUCCUACUGUUAGUUCCCCACUUUUCUUUAUUAUUUAAUUGCUUCCUCUGCCCGGUGAUUUCUUUCUGUUGUGGUUCCGGGAAUUGUGAUUUUUCUCUCUGUGUAGUAUGUCUUUUAGCACUCUUUUUAAGAUUGGUUUGGUGGACCUGAUAUUGUAGGUUAAAAUCAGAAUUCCUUGCACUCUGACCUUGAACUAGAAUUGUUAUCGUUUCAGCCAUUUCCUGUUUAUACCUGUAAAAAACCAUUUCUGAAUUUUUAAAGAAUUUAAAUGACAUGUUGUAGUAUGUGCAAAAACCAUAUUCAUUAUAGAACUAUUUGAAUGCACACAAAACCCCCAAACUUAUUUGUAGUGCUAGUAUUAACCAAUCAUUGAUAGAAUUUUUGACAUGACUAAAAAGAUAGGAAUAUGAGAUAAAAGUGGCCUUUAUUUUAAGAAUGCGGACAGAGACUCCAUGACCUCUGGGGCUUUCUCUCUGCCAGACAUGUGGUGUAGGGGCAUACAUGUAGCUUAGGUUUGGGGUGGAGCCUCAGGGGCAUUACUGAUGCACAAGUAGCUCAUUGGAAUUCAUUUCAUGCCACAGGUAAAUUGCUUACGGGUGGGAAAGAUGACCUUUUGCUUCCCAGCACUGCAGCAUCUCAUUUAGGGCAAAAUCCUUUCAAUCAUUAUUUUACAAUAACUUCUUUACUUUUUUACAUUUUUUUUUUGUGUAAUGAUUUUCAAACUCCAUUUUCUCAUUUUAUUGAAUGAUUUGUCAAUAUAAUUUUCCAACAUCAUCAUACUUUUCCCCCUGAAACUUUCACAAUGAUUUUUAGUAUUGUAUAAUCAAUCUUUUAUCAUAAUUAAAGCAGAAUCUGAGACUCUACAGCACAAGUGCUUCAGCUCAAGGACGAUGAUCCCAGAGUUGUCUCCCAUACCUGGUCUGCUGGGUCACUGCCUGCUGCCCUGAUCCCUGUGAGCAGACUCUAACCUCCUGUCUAGUGCAUGAGCAAGAGCUGCAAAAGCCAGUGUCCCUGACACCAACCAGUGACAGUUGAAAAAUUAUCUGCUCCAUUUUGCAUGGCUGGGGAAGAGGAUCAAAACCCCCCUAAUUUAUUAAAAUAGUAGUUGUCCAGCAUCACCUCACGGAAGAAUGUACUGUCACAAGGGGGUACUGCAGCAAACAGUCCAACACAAACCACUUGUGUAGAAGGCAGGAAGAAAAAUGAGUGUCCAGUGCUUCUUGCCUGUCUCAUGUUUACCCAUUAUACUGUUCCAUGCUUCUGACUUGGUUGUUCUGACACAUGUCUAAUAGGACUGCAUGGACCUCAACCUUAUCCAUAUGCAGUAAUCAACUUCCCUUCAUUGUAUGAUAUAACAAAGAUAAAUUGAUUAUGUGGGAAAAGAUGUACUUGGCCUCAGAGUGUUGGAGAUUUCAAUUGGCCUUGUUUCUUUGAGCCUGUUGUGUAGCUACAUAUUGUGACUGAAGCGCAUGGUGGAGUAAAUGCUCACCCUGAGGCCAGGAAGUGAAAGAAAAAGACUAGUACUGUGAAAGAGUCCUCUUAAAACACAGGCCUCCAAUACCUUCCACCAGGUCUCACAUCCUAAAGAUUGUACCACCUCCUAUAAAACCAUGCUAGGAUCUAAAUGGGUCAAAGAUCUGAAUAUUAAAACAGAAACACUAAAUCUAUUGGAAGACAAAUUGGGUAGAAACCUUGAAGACAUAGGAGUAGGUAGAGAAUUCAUGAACAGGACUCAAACCACACGGAAAUACUUCCCAGAAUCAAUAACUGGGACCACAUCUUAUUAAAAAGUUUCUGCAUGUCAAAAGAAAUCUCCAGCAUAGUGAAAAGAAAACCCACAAACUGGGAAAAGAUUUUAGUGAACUCUUUCUCAGACAAGGGACUCUUGUCUAAAACAUAUAAAGAAUUAAAAAAACUCAUACCCCCAAAAUUCAAAGAUCCAAUCCAAAAAUGGGCAUCUGAGAUGAAUACGCACUUCUCAGAUGAAGAAAUGCAAAUGGCAAAUAAAUACAUUAAAAAAUGCUCAUCAUCAUUGGUCAUUAGAGAAAUGCAAAUUAAAACCACACUGAGAUACCAUCUCACUCCUGAAAGAAUGGCCAGGAUCAAGAAAACCAACAACAACAAAUGCUGGAGAGGCUGUGGGGAAAAAGGAACUCUCCUGCACUGCUGGUGGGAGUGUAGACUGGUACAGCCUUUGUGGAGGCCAGUCUGGAGAUUUCUCAAAAAGUUGGGAUUGGAAAUCCCAUUUAUUCCAGCUAUUCCACUUCUAGGCAUAUUCCCAGAAGAACUGAAAGCAUCAUACCACAGUGAUAUAUGUGCACCUAUGUUUAUAGCAGCACAAUUUGUAAUCGCCAGAUCUUGGAAACAACCCAAGUGUCCAUCAACUGAGGAAUGGAUAAAAAAGUUGUGGUAUUUCUAUACAAUGGAGUAUUAUUCAGCUAUAAAGAAGGAUCACAUUGAGCUAUUUAUCAAUAAAUGGGCGCAGUUUGAGACCAUACUCAUAAGUGAAAUAAAUCAAUCUCACAUGUGUGAAUACCGAAUAGUUUCCCUAAUGUAAGUAAUGAUUCAAAUAUAUAAAAAUAUGUGGUAAUCAUGAUUCCCCAUUAGGUGGCCUUGAAGCCUUAUAAAGUUUUCACUUAUUAAUUGGAAAGGCUUUAUUCUGGGCUUCUUGAUAUGGAAAUAUUUGAAGCUAUAGUAUAUGAAGUUUUAUUCAAAUAUUUCAAGGAAAAAGACAGACACUAUGGUAACUACUAUUAAGUCGGUUAUUUGGUGGUGAAGCACUAGGCUGCUGAAACAGUCAUGCUUUCACCUGUAUUGUUAUGUUGUUAUGUCCUGUUUUAUCUCAAUCUCUCCCUUAUUCUUUAAAAAAAUUAUUUAGUUAUUUCUUAUGUUUGUUUUAAUUAAGGGGAAAAAUUAAAAAAAUUAGCAGGAGGUAUAAUAGUAACUUUUUUUGAUUUCCUAUUAACUUGUUUUGAAGUCCUGUAAUACUCCCACGAUCUUGUUUUGACUGAUUAGACUCUGUUCCAUUCUGUAUGAUAGUUUUAAGUGUGAGGGUAUAGGCAACUACUUUGAAGGCAAUAAGAUUCACUAAGAUGUCCAUUCUGGUUUGACUAUUGUCUCCUUUGGAAGUCCUGUAAUGUUUACAAUACCUAGGUUUUAUAGGUCUUGUUCUCUACUGUUUUGUUCAACUUUAUAAUAUCUAAUGAGAUAGACAAUUCUUUUUAAGGAAACAAGAGACAUUGUUGAUAACCAUUGUUGAUAACUUUGUACUCUGUUUUACAUCAUGUGCUAUGUCUAUCCUUGGUUUUGACUGACAGCUUUGUUUUGCCAUAUUUGACUUUAUUCUCUCCCCCCCCCAAAAAAAGUAAUAAGAACUAAGGAGUAAUAAAACCCAAAAUGUGUAAAUUUUGUUGUAAAAAAGAGAGGUAAAAAAAGAACUCUAAAGGAUACAACAGCAAGUGUGUUUAGGGGUGUUAAAUAGCUGACCAUAUUAAUGUUUUUGGUUGGAUCAUUGAACACAACUGUUUGCAGUCUCACUGUUUGAAUGUCCACUUUGUAUUCUUUGAUACUGUGAUUUGAGCAACUAUUUCUAAGAUGAUAAUAUGUAAUCUAUUAACUGGUGAUUUCUUACUGUCUUUUUUUUUGUAGUUCUGUAUUACGUGUACCCUUACACCACUUUGUUCUGUUCUGUGUUUUUCUCUUUUUCCUUUUAAAUAAAAUAAAAAAAAAUAAAACCAUGCUAGGGACCAAAAUUUUGAUGGGGAUGCUUAAUCUCCAACCCAUGCAGUGAGUGAUGUCACAUGUGCCUCCCCACAGCCACCAGUACUUCUUCACUGACUAAUGGUGAAUCUGAGUUUCCCUGAGGGUCAACAUCCAGAGAGGCUGAGGUCAGGCCCUGACUGGACGUGGACUUUUAGCUGGCCUGUCUCACUCCAUUGAAGGGGAUCUUGAGGAUGGGCUCAGUCUCUUCCAAGGAACUGCACAACGUUUUCUGUUUUGCACCAUUUUGUGUCUUUUCAAUUGCAAUGGUACAGGCCAGGGUGGGAAGAGGAAAGCUCAUAGUACGCUUUUAUUAACAGGUCAGGGAGUUUGGAAUUGUUACUGUCUUUGCUAGAAUAUUCACUUCCUAAUGUGUCUCUUUUUUGUUCUUUAUGCUUUGGGUUUCUUCUCUAAGAAAAACAAUGUAAUAUUUAAUGUGCAGUUUGAUUUACUGCACUCAAGAUUAUGGUCUUGAGGUACAUUCAUUUUUAUCCAUUCUUCUGUUGAGAAUCAUAUGGGCUAUUUCCAGGAUUUGGCUGUAUAGAGUUGUGCUGCUAAGCAUGGGUGUGCAUGUAUCAGUGCACUCUGAUACCUUUAACUCUUUUAGGAAGAUAUGUAGAAGCAGAAGAACAGGAUCAAAUGGAAUUUCCAGUUUUUAUUUUUUGAAGACUCCUCAUACAGAGGAGUACACAACCAGGAUAGCUUGUGGAUGACAUUUAAAAAACUGAACAAUAACAUACCAACAGUGGGCCCAAAUUCACAUGCCUAUGGCAAGAUAUGAAUUACAUUCUGUUCAUAUUCAUCAAUCCCCCAAAGACUGAAAAGCUCCAGGAUUGUUCAGAGGACAAAGCUGAAGGUGUCUUCUCAAGCUGAAACCUCUCACUGAGCUUAAAGUAUGCACAAUACCAAAAAGAAAGUUUGACAACAAGAUACAGUAGCAGAGUGUUUGCAUUUGUGUACCAAAAGGAGGAAAUAAGACUAUGGAAAGGAAAAGUGUGCACACAUACCACAAAAACAGAAACAAAAAACAAAACCAAAGCUAAAAACUAAACCAAACCAAACCAACCAAACAAUAACCACAAAACCCCCAAAAACAAAAACAACCUCUAAAAACCAAGCUGAGUAAAUGUUAAUUCAUAAAUCUGCAUGGAUAUAACUUCGGGCACAUGUUGUUGUGAUAUGAGCCCCAGAGAUUCAGGCAGCCUUGCUUUGUGGCCUGGCUGGUUACAGCACACAUGUCCUCGUUCUGGUCACUGCCUGCAUCUUUAAUUGGCUGAAGUCCAUUUUCCCAGCAAUGGUUCCCUCAGGACCUCUGCAAUCAUCUUGGAGCAAUGUAUUGAGCUUCUCUUUAGUGGUGCAAAUAUCUUGAACAACCACACUUUCUUUUAUUACAACUUUAAAACUCUUCCAUUUCUGGCAAAACUGCAAGGCUUUUAAGUCUUUCCACUCUGCUCACUGUAAAUAUGUCUAAAAAUUGAACAGUAAUACGUGUGACACAGUUUGAAUGCUUUGUUAUAUUAAAAUUUCUUCUACCAGGUUAAUUAUCCAAUCACCUGUCAGCUGAGGUUUUCACAAAGUGUUUAGGCUUGGAAAAAAAUUUAGACAAUUUCUUUUCCAGAAUAUAAAGGAAUAAUCUGUAGUUCAGUUUCUAAUAGAGUCCUCAUUUCCAUCUGAAUCUUCAUGAGGAGAGAUCCAUGUUUGAUGCUGGGAAGUCUUGUCCUUUACCAAAACCUGAAGGAACAAUCUCUGUUCUGUCCGUAUGUGUCAGUUAUUUUUCUCACUGCUGAGACAGAAUACCUGACAGCCAAAGUUAAAGGGGAAAGGUUUAUUUGGCUCCCAGUCUGUAGAAGUUUCAGUCCAUAAUCUUCUGGCUCCAAGGCAGAGUGGCUUGGUAGACUGGCAUCCCAGAUGCCAAACAGUUCAUGGCACCAUAAGGGAGUAAGAGCAAGUAAGGAAGGGAAAAAUAGCCCUUUCUUCCCCUUACAUUGUCUCCAGUAUUCUGGGAUUAGGGCAGUGCCAAUCCAAUCAAUGGACUGAUUGCCACUUCUAAUCCCAGCAUGCUUGAUCCCUGUGUUGUACUACGAAUUAGUCACAUAUUCUAGGUUCAGCCACCUCCCAAA